rnacentral:rRNA from 1 species
AGAGUUUGAUCAUGGCUCAGGACGAACGCUGGCGGCGUGCCUAACACAUGCAAGUCGAACGAGGUCCAUCCUUCGGGAGAAGACCUAGUGGCGAACGGGUGAGUAACACGUGAAGAACCUGCCCCGAAGACCGGGAUAACCCUCCGAAAGGAGAGCUAAUACCGGAUACCCCCACCGAACCGCAUGGUUUGGUGAGGAAAUGGAUUCCGCUUCGGGAGGGCUUCGCGGCCUAUCAGCUAGUUGGUGGGGUAACGGCCCACCAAGGCAUCGACGGGUAGCUGGUCUGAGAGGACGAUCAGCCACACUGGGACUGAGACACGGCCCAGACUCCUACGGGAGGCAGCAGUGGGAAUCUUGCGCAAUGGGCGAAAGCCUGACGCAGCAACGCCGCGUGGGGGAUGAAGGCUCUCGGGUUGUAAGCCCCUUUCAGCAGGGACGAAUCAAGACGGUACCUGCAGAAGAAGCCCCGGCUAACUACGUG